rnacentral:lncRNA from 1 species
AGAACUCACGUUUUCCGAGAAGCUACAAACCCACCAACAAAAAUGUGCCCUCCCCAAAACCCUAGCUCCUGAUCUCACCCCUGCUUCUCUUUAUCCUCCAUGGACGAUAUCACUCGCCGGAGACCCCGUGCUCGCCGGGAACCCCAGCCUCGCCGCCGAUCAUGGUGCUGCUCUUUCUCAGUGCCCCCGACGAGCCCAGAGCACCUCCGGGUCUCGCAACCCAAGCCUCUUCAGAAGUUCGAAACCCUAUCCAAAUCGGGCAACUCUUUUCCGAAUUCGCCG